rnacentral:rRNA from 1 species
GAUGAACGCUAGCGGCAGGCUUAACACAUGCAAGUCGAGGGGCAGCACUUGUAGCAAUACAUGGUGGCGACCGGCGCAAGGGUGCGUAACGCGUGAGCAACAUGCCCGUAUCAGGGGGAUAAUCCAGGGAAACUUGGUCUAAUACCCCAUAGCAAUUAUUUGAGGCAUCUUAAAUAAUUUAAAGCUUUGGUGGAUACGGAUUGGCUCGCGUGACAUUAGCUAGAUGGUAAGGUAACGGCUUACCAUGGCUACGAUGUCUAGGGGUUCUGAGAGGAAGAUCCCCCACACUGGAACUGAGACACGGUCCAGACUCCUACGGGAGGCAGCAGUGAGGAAUAUUGGACAAUGGAUGGAAAUCUGAUCCAGCCAUGCCGCGUGCAGGAAGACGGCCCUAUGGGUUGUAAACUGCUUUUGUGUGGGAGCAAUAAGGUCUAUGCGUAGACUGAUGAGAGUACCAUACGAAUAAGCAUCGGCU